rnacentral:rRNA from 1 species
CAGUCGCCCGGGAAAACGUAGGGGGCAAGCGUUAUCCGGAUUUACUGGGUGUAAAGGGAGCGCAGGCGGUGCGGCAAGUCUGAUGUGAAAGCCCGGGGCUCAACCCCGGGACUGCAUUGGAAACUGUCGUACUUGAGUAUCGGAGAGGUAAGUGGAAUUCCUAGUGUAGCGGUGAAAUGCGUAGAUAUUAGGAGGAACACCAGUGGCGAAGGCGGCUUACUGGACGAUAACUGACGCUGAGGCUCGAAAGCGUGGGGAGCAAACAGGAUUAGAUACCCCGGUAGUCCCUGUCUCUUAUACC